GACAGAGGACACGAACGUUGUUCGGAAUCACUGGGCAUAAAGCGCACGUAGGCGGCUAGGUCCGUCCAAUGUGAAAGCCCCCGGCUCAACCGGGGAAUUGCAUCGGAUACAGCCUGGCUUGAGGACGGUUGGGGUGAGUGGAACUCCUGGUGGAGCGGUGAAAUGCGUAGAUAUCAGGAGGAACACCGGUGGCGAAAGCGGCUCACUGGACCGUUACUGACGCUGAGGUGCGAAAGCUAGGGGAGCAAACGGG
rnacentral:rRNA from 1 species